AAAAAUUUAGUUAAAAAAUAACAUUAGUUUGUCAAACUAAAAUUAUCUAUUUGAUAAUUUUUA
rnacentral:tRNA from 1 species